rnacentral:rRNA from 1 species
AGUCGUAACAAGGUUUCCGUAGGUGAACCUGCGGAAGGAUCAUUACCUAGAGUUUGUAGACUUCGGUCUGCUACCUCUUACCCAUGUCUUUUGAGUACCUUCGUUUCCUCGGCGGGUCCGCCCGCCGAUUGGACAACAUUCAAACCCUUUGCAGUUGCAAUCUGCGUCUGAAAAAACAUAAUAGUUACAACUUUCAACAACGGAUCUCUUGGUUCUGGCGUCGAUGAAGAACGCAGCGAAAUGCGAUAAGUAGUGUGAAUUGCAGAAUUCAGUGAAUCAUCGAAUCUUUGAACGCACAUUGCGCCCCUUGGUAUUCCAUGGGGCAUGCCUGUUCGAGCGUCAUUUGUACCUUCAAGCUCUGCUUGGUGUUGGGUGUUUGUCUCGCCUCUGCGUGUAGACUCGCCUUAAAACAAUUGGCAGCCGGCGUAUUGAUUUCGGAGCGCAGUACAUCUCGCGCUUUGCACUCAUAACGACGACGUCCAAAAGUACAUUUUUACACUCUUGACCUCGGAUCAGGUAGGGAUACCCGCUGAACUUAA